GAAAACUUCCAGUUCAAACUCAGAGGCAGGGGUGGAAGUUAGCUCCAUACUAGAAUAUUCUCUGGCAAAAGGAAAUCAGACCGUGAACGACCUCAGAGGCUAGCAAGACAGCUGAGCCUGUCGCUUACCAAGAUCAAGUCUCUCUGUGGUGAGCAAGGGACUUGAGCUAAUGAAAGAGCUAAGCAAGCUGGAUGACGACUACACGGUGCAUGAAACUGAUAGAAUUUUGCCUUGGCUGGCGGUGUCAUGAGGAUCUCUUCACGUGUUUUCCUUUAGCAGACAUUCAAGUCUGUUGUGGAAUAAUCCUUUUGUACACUGUGAAAA